rnacentral:rRNA from 1 species
AUGUGGUUUAUGUUGUUCUCUUGCGCAAGCUGGCUAGCAGCAGACGAUGACGACAUCGGCCAAAGAAUAUUUUGUCCAGUGAUGAUGUUUUUCGUUGUGUAUGUUGGAGAGGUUCGCUCCUCCGUGCAUGUCCUUUUUCUUAUGUCGUUCGCUUAUUUCACAAGUGCAGUUUUACUAUUCGCUUUCAUGCCGACCAGAUUACUGGAUUUUUGCAAAAAAGAUGAGAGAACAUCAAAAGACACGUGUAUAUAUAGUAUUGAUUUUUUCCUGUUCAUUGUGAAGACGCUUAUUGUUCACAUUGUAAAAAACCCAAAGAAGGCGGUUCAUUCCAUUUGGGAUGAAGCUCGGUUGUGA